GGCCGGAAAGUUGGUCAAACUCGGUCAUUUAGAGGAAGUAAAAGUCGUAACAAGGUCUCCGUAGGUGAACCUGCGGAGGGAUCAUUA
rnacentral:rRNA from 15 species